GCGAGCUGCCUUGAGAUCGGAGUGCUUGCACUCUGUGAAACAAGAUACAGGCUAGCGGCGGACGGGUGAGUAACACGUGGGUAACCUGCCCAAGAGAUCGGGAUAACACCUGGAAACAGAUGCUAAUACCGGAUAACAACAGAUGAUGCCUAUCAACUGUUUAAAAGAUGGUUCUGCUAUCACUCUUGGAUGGACCUGCGGUGCAUUAGCUAGUUGGUAGGGUAACGGCCUACCAAGGCGAUGAUGCAUAGCCGAGUUGAGAGACUGAUCGGCCACAUUGGGACUGAGACACGGCCCAAACUCCUACGGGAGGCAGCAGUAGGGAAUCUUCCACAAUGGACGCAAGUCUGAUGGAGCAACGCCGCGUGAGUGAAGAAGGGUUUCGGCUCGUAAAGCUCUGUUGUUGGUGAAGAAGGACAGGGGUAGUAACUGACCUUUGUUUGACGGUAAUCAAUUAGAAAGUCACGGCUAACUACGUGCCAGCAGCCGCGGUAAUACGUAGGUGGCAAGCGUUGUCCGGAUUUAUUGGGCGUAAAGCGAGUGCAGGCGGUUCGAUAAGUCUGAUGUGAAAGCCUUCGGCUCAACCGGAGAAUUGCAUCAGAAACUGUCGAGCUUGAGUACAGAAGAGGAGAGUGGAACUCCAUGUGUAGCGGUGAAAUGCGUAGAUAUAUGGAAGAACACCGGUGGCGAAGGCGGCUCUCUGGUCUGUUACUGACGCUGAGGCUCGAAAGCAUGGGUAGCGAACAGGAUUAGAUACCCUGGUAGUCCAUGCCGUAAACGAUGAGUGCUAAGUGUUGGGAGGUUUCCGCCUCUCAGUGCUGCAGCUAACGCAUU
rnacentral:rRNA from 1 species